GUCUACGGCUAUGCCACCCUGAACAAGCCCAAUCCUGUCUGAUCUCAGAAGCCAAGCAGGGUCAGGCCUGGUUAGUACUUGGAUAGGAGCCACCUAGAAAGACCAGGUGCUGUAGGCG
ensembl:rRNA 5S_rRNA 5S ribosomal RNA